rnacentral:rRNA from 1 species
CGGCACGGGUGAGUAACACGUAUGCAACCUGCCUGCCACAGCCGGAUAAUCGGGAGAAAUUCCGUCUAAUACGGCAUAAUGCAUCGACGGGACAUCCUGUUGGUGCCAAAGGUUAAUUCCGGUGGCGGAUGGGCAUGCGUCGCAUUAGUUAGUUGGCGGUGUAACGGACCACCAAGACGACGAUGCGUAGGGGUUCUGAGAGGAAGGUCCCCACACUGGUACUGAGACACGGACCAGACUCCUACGGAAGGCAGCAG